GACGAACGCUGGCGGCGUGCUUAACACAUGCAAGUCGAACGGGCCUGUCUUCUUUUUUGGGGGGUGGGUUGAGUGGCGAACGGGUGAGUAUCACGUGAGUAACCUGCCCUUCGGUCCUGGAUAACCGCUUGAAAGGGCGGCUAAUACGGGGUGGUCCGGUUGGUCCGCAUGGGCUGGUCGGGAUAGAUUCACUGUUUUUGGUGUUUCGGCGGGGGAUGGGCUCGCGGCCUAUCAGCUUGUUGGUGGGGUGAUGGCCUACCAAGGCGGUGACGGGUAGCCGGCCUGAGAGGGUGGGCGGCCACACUGGGACUGAGAUACGGCCCAGACUCCUGCGGGAGGCAGCAGUGGGGGGUAUUGCACAAUGGGCGGAAGCCUGAUGCAGCGACGUCGCGUGAGGGAUGGAGGCCUUCGGGUUGUGAACCUCUGUUUCCGGUGGUGAAGGCCCUGUCCGUGUGGUGGGGUUGACGGUAGCCGGGGAUGAAGCGCCGGCGAACUACGU
rnacentral:rRNA from 1 species